UACGUAGGUCCCGAGCGUUGUCCGGAUUUAUUGGGCGUAAAGCGAGCGCAGGUGGUUUAUUAAGUCUGGUGUAAAAGGCAGUGGCUCAACCAUUGUAUGCAUUGGAAACUGGUAGACUUGAGUGCAGGAGAGGAGAGUGGAAUUCCAUGUGUAGCGGUGAAAUGCGUAGAUAUAUGGAGGAACACCGGUGGAGAAAGCGGCUCUCUGGCCUGUAACUGACACUGAGGCUCGAAAGCGUGGGGAGCAAACAGG
rnacentral:rRNA from 1 species